GUCUGGCGGCUAAAUCUGCUCGUACAUUGACCAGUGCUAUAAAUAGGUCUGAGGAGCGUAGGGAACUUCCCACCAUACCACAACCUACGCACCAGAUGGAGUGGUUGGCUAGGGUCAACUUUAAGCACAGAGCAGUGCGCCGUGACACGUGUACCAAAACAGAGACAACACAAAGACUUAAGUCUCCAAGAGUCACGACCUGCACUCCUCAUUUUACGUCUACUAAAGAGGAAUCUGUUUU